GUGCUCGCCUCUACAGCACAUAUACUAAAAUUGGAAUGGUACAGAGAUUAGCGUGGCCCCUGCGCAAUGAUGACACACAGAUUUGUGAAGCGCUCCAUAUUUGA
ensembl:snRNA U6 U6 spliceosomal RNA